UGAAGUAGUUGUUUGAAUUUACGCCAACUUCCGGCCAUAUCCUUACCUCCAGCGCUGGCGCAGUGGAUAGAGCUCUCGGUUAUUGUCUCCAAGGUCCUUUAUUCAAGUACUGCCAAGGUGGGUCACUACAGAUUAGUGCUUUUUAAAACAUAACCUUGGCCGUGUGAAUUUAAUGUUAAAUCUAUCCUCCAACCACCUCAUUCACGAUGAUUUGGUGUUUGAGAUUACUUCAAUCAAGAAAGUCACCUUUCAAACAGAAAUGUCCAAAACAAGAGAACCUAAAGUGUCCUGGUUCUAUUUUUCGAGGUUGUGAUGCAGUAAUUAAAAAGUAAGUUGAUCAAGUAUUGCCAACUUAAAGCAAAUUCUGCAGCAAUGGAAGAUGACCCGUGGGACUUUGGACUUGGCUCUGGUGUGGGUCAAAUAGACCCAUACCCGGUGGUCAAUAGUGAUCAUUGAACGCCUUUCUUUUUUGUAUGGUUUUGGUAAGGAUUAGAAGUUAUGAAAUUUUGGAAAUGGGUGCAAGAAAUCAAAUCUUCUGCGAUGACCCUCAAACAAAUGUGCCGCUCAAAUCUCACUCCAAGAUUUUCUGGAAACUUGUCAUCCAUUCAUAUCAUCAUCAUAGGGCUGACAAUGAUUUGAAUGGAUGACUACUAAGUGCAACUAUGUGCCUUUUGAAAAGCAUGAUAUUGAGGAGCCAUCCUCCAUGGAAAUAGUAUUUUAUUACAUGUACAGAUAAUCCAAAUUCUCCAAUUCUCAAAAUCCUGUUUGACGAGUCCGAAGACGUACAGCGACAGUUAAGUUAAAAACCUUCAAAGCAGAUUUCCCCCGGUUCUCUGGACUUGUGGACUCGUUAAUAAGAACCCAGUCGAAAGCUAAAAAAAAAAAAAAAAAAAAAGUUGACCAACCUUCACACGAUCGUCGGCAUCGGGCGACGAUACCGCUUCCGAAUCCAUUAGCUAAAUAACGGAAAGUAAAAACGUACACCUACAAAUAUAAUCUAAGCAUAACCAAGGCAACAACAAGGCUAUUUUACGCCACCAAAGACCAAUCCUUUUUUUUUUU